UUGACCUCGGAUCAGGUAGGAAUACCGCUGAACUUAAGCAUAUCAAUAAGCGGAGGA
rnacentral:rRNA from 1 species